AGGCUCUGGCGCAAAGAGAAGGGAGAGUCUGCCCUCCCGCCACCUGAGCGUGACUGUGUGGUAACCAAGCGCUCUUGAAGUGGGGAGGGAAGGGAAGCCGAGAGUCUCCCACCGUCAUCACCUCCAUGGUUUAAAGAGGAAAGUGGAGUCGUGUCCCAGUUCCAGGCGAAGACACCUUCCUAAUGCCAUCUAGGUAGAAGAGAGGUGUCAGCUUCCCUACCCUGAGGUCCAAGAAGCCCAUUCAGACUCAUCUGCUCUACAGGAAAUGGAAAUGUUUAGGAUUCUGACGUCAUGCACCCUUGUCCUGCUUUGUCACUAACUCAUUGGCUUUGCAGUCCUCCACAGGCUACUGAGGAAGUGAUAGCAUCUACCUGGAUGGUACCUCUCAUGACAUGACCUUAAAAAGGAUAGUUGAAAAUGACAAAGCUCUACCAGAAGAGACAUCGUGGUUGCUUUUCACACUGUUAUGUGGUAUUUGAAGUACCUCCCGAGAAUCUAUCAUGUCCACUGAGGUGGGCCUUCUUGACACUGCUGGUAUGGGUCCCAUCAUUUCUUUCUUUUCUACUUCUGAAUAGUCAGCAGAGGACAGCUAAUGCCCCAGCAUCCAAUCAAGGUGGCCACAUAAGCUGGGCCAAUGUGCCAUAAUUAAAAAUCACAAAACUCGCAGUCAAGUCUCAAAUCAUGUUAGCUCAUAUCUUUGCCCAAGCCACCUUCAGCCUCAGUUUCCUCAACCGUGAAAGAGUGUGACAACAAUUAUAACUACCUUGAAAGACUACUGAGAAGAUUAAGAGUGAGUGAGUGCAUUUUAUAAGCUGUAAAGCGCUGUGCAAAUGUUAGCUAUUGAUAUUUCUCACUCUAGUGGAUCACAGAGCUUGCCAGCAAAAGUAAAUUACCAAAAAAAAAGGAGGAAAAAAUCUUCCCACACAUAAUUAUCCCAGCAUUAAACACUAAAGAGAACUCAGGCAAGUGUGGGGUGGAAGGUCGUUCCUCUCGGUGACUCUCAGGCUUAGUCAUACCCGCUAAAAUAAAUGCAGCAACCGCUU